UCACCCCUCAAGCCUGGCUUGUUGUUGGACCUCAGGUCCGGGUUCACCCCCGACCGGUCUCAAUAGUAAUGACGGCGUCCGUGGGACUCUCGGUGCAACGAGCUUUUUACGAGGCACGCAACGAGUUGAAAAGUCUGACGGCACGGUCUAUCCCAAAUCUUUUUUCUAAA
rnacentral:misc_RNA from 1 species